rnacentral:rRNA from 1 species
AUUGAACGCUGGCGGCAUGCUUUACACAUGCAAGUCGAACGGCAGCAUGGGUGCUUGCACCUGAUGGCGAGUGGCGAACGGGUGAGUAAUAUAUCGGAACGUACCCGGAAAUGGGGGAUAACGUAGCGAAAGUUACGCUAAUACCGCAUAUGCCCUGAGGGGGAAAGUGGGGGAUCCGCAAGGACCUCACGUUUUCGGAGCGGCCGAUAUCAGAUUAGCUAGUUGGUGAGGUAAAGGCUCACCAAGGCGACGAUCUGUAGCUGGUCUGAGAGGACGACCAGCCACACUGGGACUGAGACACGGCCCAGACUCCUACGGGAGGCAGCAGUGGGGAAUUUUGGACAAUGGGGGCAACCCUGAUCCAGCCAUGCCGCGUGAGUGAAGAAGGCCUUCGGGUUGUAAAGCUCUUUCGGACAGAAAGAAAUCGCACAGGAUAAUACCUUGUGUGGAUGACGGUACUGUAAGAAGAAGCACCGGCUAACUACGUGCCAGCCGCCGCCGUAA